GGAUAUUUCUAGGAAACCGAUUUGAUUAAGUCAUUUUUAGGAAAAAUGAUUAAUUUUGGAAAAAUACUUUUAUUGCGGAAGCUUUGCUUGUUGUCGUGUUAUUUUGAAAUCAACUGUUGUUUUUGAAAACGCGCCCUAAAGCUAUCCAAUUUCAACAGUUAAAAUAAGUAUUACCUAUCUUAGUAAUACAUAUUAAAACCAUAAAAAAUAAUUAAGCGGCCUUAUUACAUUUAAAAGCCCAAAAACUUCAAACGUAAAUAAAAGGAUGUCCAGUUCACCAGAAGAAAAUCAAACUUUCAGAACGGGUGGCCACUCCAAAUUCCCUCACAGCUCCAAGCCCACUAUGGUUGGGGAUUUCCUACGUGGAUGAAAAUAAAAGGGGUGAGUUUGGGGAAACUCAGUGUGUAAGGAAAACCCAUUCAAAGCCCAAGUCAGCUCAAGCCCAUUGGGCUAAGCCCAUUCAAGUAAUAGUGGUACUGGGCCAGAGCCCUUUUCAGAUUACAAUAAACUAGGCCUUAGCCCCUUAUUCAGAUAACAGUAUGGCCCAUAGGCCCAUUUCAAAAUACAUGCAACAUCAGUAAACAUAUGCAAGCCCAUUUGGGUAACAGUGGUACUGGGCCAGAGCCCUUUUCAGAUUACAAUAAACUGGGCCUUAGCCCCUUAUUCAGAUAACAGUAUGGCCCAUAGGCCCAUUUCAAAAUACAUGCAACAUCAGUAAACAUAUGCAAGCCCAUUUGGGGAGACUACUCAACCCACCAACCACUACACUCCACCUGUACCAGCCAUACACUCCAUGUGGGGAAUAGCUCAACCCACCCAGCCCAACACUCCACAGUUGCAGCCUUGCUGCUCAGUUAACAGUAAAUUGAGGCAAAGCCUCCAGUACGUGGACAAGCCACUUUCAGUACUUCCUCCGUCAAUAUCCCAGUCCCAUGCAUCAGAUAAUAACAACAUGGCAUGCAGUAAAUAACAACAGUCAAACAUGCAUUUAGGUCAAUUUAACUCUAGGGGUAUUUCGGUAAUUUAUCUACUAGGGGUAAAACUAUAAAUUUUCCACUUUUAAAGGUAUUUCAGUAAUUUAUCUAUUUUAGGGUUUUUCAUGCAUAUUCCUACAUUUCACAUACUAACAGAAUCACUACCGAGGGUUCUUACCGAAUUGGGCCCGUUGGCCCAUCAUUCCAAUUUUGGCCCAUUAAGCCCAAAAAUAUCGAUGGCACAAAAAUCAUGCAUUUUGCAAUCCAAAUUUUGCAGUUUACCAAAACCAUUAAUCGAUUUACCUCACGAGCAUUCGCACACUCGUAAAUCUACAAAAUACCAGUUUUCGGCAUUUCGGCUUUUUGACUUUUGCCGAUCCAGACUAAGAAAGAGGGUGUUAGUUACACACCUGUUUGCGACGAUAUGUUGACGAGAUCCACACACGAACUGCCUACAAUUUGAUUACUAACACGUUAAUCUAACUAUUCAAAUACGAACUACGUAUUGACCCCUUACAAUAUUCGACCAACCACACCUACAGAUCAUAGUAAGCUUAUAAGAAAACAAUAAGCAACUCAUUAACAAAUUUUUGUCAAUGUUUACCACAUAAUCAUAAUUUCACUGCAAGCUAUCUUCUUGAGCGACAGUCACUACAUCAUUUAUAACUGGAGCUACGAAACUCUAAAUCAAGUGCCGUUAAUUUUCCCUGAAAAUAGACUCAUAUAUCUUCUAUCCAUAAAAUUUUCAGAAUUUUUGGUUUAGCCAAUUAAUACCAGAUUUUUCUCAAAGUUUCCCAUGUUUCACUGUUUGACUAAUCUGACCACUCUUGAUUACGAAUCAAAUUUCUCAUUGUACAGAAUUCAAAAUAUGUUCUUGUUUAUUUCAUUAGAAACUAGACUCAAUAAGCUUCAAUUACAUAAUUUAUUCAGCUUCUAAUUCUUCUCCCACUAUUUAUGGUGAUUUUCCAAAAUCACGUUACUGCUGCUGUCCCAAGCAGAUUUAUUACCAAAUCACUCUUUCACACAUACCUUGCAUGCAUGUUAUUUAAACAUGUAUAUCACCAAUCAAUCAUCACAUAUCUAUGAUUUUACUUAAGUAUAAUCUCCAUUUCAUCAUUUUAAAGCACAACAUGUUAGCUGAUUUUUCCCUUUAACAUCUAAGGCACAUGCAUGCUCAUUUGUUUGGCUCAACUUCACCUAUCUUCUAUUUUUCAUCAAAAGAACAUGAAACAACAACCAUUUCCUUCAUUUUAAUUCAUGACUAAAUGCUCACAACACAACUAAAAAUCAAAAUAUACUUCAAGAGUUAAGGUAGAAUCAAUAAGAACUCAUGAACCUCAAAAUAGAAGCAAGGUACCAAGAACUUACCUUCAAUUUUCCUCCUCCUAAUGACCGAAUACUCAAGAGCUUUCUCCUCUCCUUUCUCUUCUCUAACUUUCAGCUAUGAUGAACAAAGAUGGACAAAAAUUUGUUCUUUUCACCCCUUUUUCUUUUAAUAAAAC
rnacentral:lncRNA from 1 species